rnacentral:rRNA from 1 species
AUUGAACGCUGGCGGCAGGCCUAACACAUGCAAGUCGAGCGGAUGAAGGGAGCUUGCUCCUGGAUUCAGCGGCGGACGGGUGAGUAAUGCCUAGGAAUCUGCCUGGUAGUGGGGGAUAACGUCCGGAAACGGGCGCUAAUACCGCAUACGUCCUGAGGGAGAAAGUGGGGGAUCUUCGGACCUCACGCUAUCAGAUGAGCCUAGGUCGGAUUAGCUAGUUGGUGGGGUAAAGGCCUACCAAGGCGACGAUCCGUAACUGGUCUGAGAGGAUGAUCAGUCACACUGGAACUGAGACACCGUCCAGACUCCUACGGGAGGGAGCAGUGGGGAAUGUUGGGCAAUGGGCGAAAGCCUGAUCCAGCCAUGCCGCGUGUGUGACGGAGGUCUUCGGGUUGUAAAGCCCUUUAAGUUGGGAGGAAGGGCAGUAAGUUAAUACCUUGCUGUUUUGACGUUACCGACAGAAUAAGCACCGGCUAACUUCGUG